CUGAGUUAUUACAACUCCAACCCAUGUGAACUUACCACUGUUGCCUCGGCGCAGAGGCCUGCUGAGACUCGUUUUCAGUGGGUGGAUGCGCCGGUGGACUACUAAACUCUUGUUAAUUUUGGUAUUCUGAAUCUAAAACUUAAUAAGUUA
rnacentral:misc_RNA from 1 species